GAUGCAAAUGAUGGGAAUUUGCGAUCAAAGCAUGACAUCAUGUGAUUACAGCUUUUAAUACUGAUGCAUC